UAGGUGUUAUAAUUUCGGUGAGGAACUG
rnacentral:sRNA from 1 species